rnacentral:rRNA from 1 species
ACGUAGGGGGCAAGCGUUGUCCGGAAUUAUUGGGCGUAAAGGGCGCGUAGGCGGUGCGGUAAGUCACCUGUGAAACCUCUGGGCUUAACUCAGAGCCUGCAGGCGAAACUGCCGUGCUUGAGUGUGGGAGAGGUGCGUGGAAUUCCCGGUGUAGCGGUGAAAUGCGUAGAUAUCGGGAGGAACAUCUGUGGCGAAGGCGACUACCUGGACCAGCACUGACACUGAGGCACGAAAGCGUGGGGAGCAAACAGGA